rnacentral:rRNA from 1 species
CCUACGGGAGGCAGCAGUGGGGGAUAUUGCACAAUGUGGGAAACCCUGAUGCAGCGACGCCGCGUGGGCGAAGAAGUAUUUCGGUAUGUAAAGCUCUAUCAGCAGGGAAGAAGACAUGACGGUACCUGAGUAAGAAGCACCGUCUAACUACGUGCCAGCAGCCGCGGUAAUACGUAGGGUGCAAGCGUUAUCCGGAUUGACUGGGUGUAAAGGGAGCGCAGGCGGCACGGCAAGCCUGAUGUGAAAGCCCGCGGCCCAACCGCGGGACUGCAGUUGGGAGUACCGGGCUGGAGUGCCGGAGAGGUAGGCGGAAUGCCUAGUGUAGCGGUGAAAUGCGUAGAUAUUAGGAGGAACACCAGUGGCGAAGGCGGCCUGCUGGACGACAACUGACGGUGAGGCGCGAAAGCGUGGGGAGCAAACAGGAUUAGAUACCCCAGUAGUC